rnacentral:ncRNA from 2 species
GCCUUAUCCCGUGGUGAUUUGGCCGGUCGGCUUGCAGCCACGUUAAACAAGUGGCUAAAUAGACCGGGUUUACGAAACC